UCAUCCUAGAGAGAAAGGAGAGGAUGGAGAGAAAUUAAGAACCAUUAGUCUGACUAAUAAGACAAAACGAUUUCCAAUUUGUAAAAAUCUCUUUAGUCCCAUCGGUACCUCUUUCCAUCCCUUUCAAGAUUGUUUAUUUCUUUUUAGUAAUUUUAAGGUCUAAAGUUACUGUUGCAGGGUAAAUGUCAGACAGCAUGAGUAACUGCAUGCUGCAUGUUGAGAUGUCAUGUCUGCCUUGAUUUUCUGAGCUCAAUUAGGAGCAACAAUAAUCACCUGUGCUGGCUGCAGCAACCAGUCACAGGUGAAUCAGAUCCCCAAAUCAGGUCUCCCAUAAAGGGAAGGAGAGCCCAUUGCUGAGUUUGCUCUCCAAAGGACAAGACCUGUUCCACCUUUCUUUACCGAGUGCGUCCACAUGAAAAACCACUUGACAAAUUGAGGAAAAAACCUGUGCUAAUAAAAACCUUAAAGUGGAA